rnacentral:tRNA from 1 species
GGGCCAUUAGCUUAACAGGCAGAGCAGUAGGUUGAAGCCCUACGGGACGAGGUUCGAGUCCUCGGUGGCCCA